rnacentral:rRNA from 1 species
UACGAAGGGGGCUAGCGUUGCUCGGAAUGACUGGGCGUAAGGGCGCGUAGGCGGCUCAUACAGUCAGGCGUGAAAUUCCUGGGCUCAACCUGGGGACUGCGCUUGAGACGUGUGGGCUUGAGUGGGGAAGAGGGUCGUGGAAUUCCCAGUGUAGAGGUGAAAUUCGUAGAUAUUGGGAAGAACACCGGUGGCGAAGGCGGCGACCUGGUCCUUGACUGACGCUGAGGCGCGAAAGCGUGGGGAGCAAACAGG